rnacentral:lncRNA from 1 species
AUCACUGUAACACUUUAAAUCCAGCUACUCUACCACCUCUCCCUGGUGUUCCCACACAUUAAGCUGGGAGAGGCAGCAGAGUACAGGAUUAAGCAUAGACAUAUCAUGGCUCCACCGCUAUCUCAUAGCUGUGCGGCUGUGGUUACCUAACCUUUCUGUGCCUUAGUUUCUUUGUGGAAAGUUAAGAGCUAACAACAGUAUUUCCCUCAUAGGGGUAUUGUGGACAUUAAAUGAGGGGAUGUAUCUAAAGCACCUACAGUGCCAGGUAUAGCAAACGUUCAAUAAUGUUAACAGUGAUCUUAAUACAAGCUGCACAAUUAAGGAUUUAAUAAAUUUUGCAAGCUA